GCUGGGAUAGCUCAGUUAGUAGAGCAGAGGACUGAAAAUCCUCGUGUCACUAGUUCAAAUCUGGUUCCUGGCA
rnacentral:tRNA from 1 species